rnacentral:rRNA from 1 species
AGCCCUACGGGACGCAGCAGUAGGGAAUAUUGCACAAUGGGGGAAACCCUGAUGCAGCAACGCCGCGUGAGUGAAGAAGUAUUUCGGUAUGUAAAGCUCUAUCAGCAGGGAAGAAGAAAGACGGUACCUGACUAAGAAGCCCCGGCUAACUACGUGCCAGCAGCCGCGGUAAUACGUAGGGGGCAAGCGUUAUCCGGAUUUACUGGGUGUAAAGGGAGCGUAGACGGCCAGACAAGUCAGAAGUGAAAGCCCAGGGCUCAACCCUGGGACUGCUUUUGAAACUGCCGGGCUGGAGUGC